rnacentral:rRNA from 1 species
AGUGAACGCUGGCGGUAGGCCUAACACAUGCAAGUCGAACGGCAGCACAGUAAGAGCUUGCUCUUACGGGUGGCGAGUGGCGUACGGGUGAGGAAUACAUCGGACUCUACUUUUUCGUGGGGGAUAACGUAGGUAAACUUACGCUAAUACCGCAUACGACCUACGGUUGAAAGCAGGGGAUCUUCGUACCUUGCGCGAUUGAAUGAGCCGAUGUCGGAUUAGCUAGUUGGCGGGGUAAAGGCCCACCAAGGCGACGAUCCGUAGCUGGUCUGAGAGGAUGAUCAGCCACACGGGAAGUGAGACACGGUCAAGACUACUGCGGGAGGCAGCAGUGGGGAAUAUUGGACAAUGGGCGCAAGCAUGAUCCAGCGAUACCGCGUGGGUGAAGAAGGCCUUCGGGUUGUAAAGCCCUUUUGUUGGGAAAGAAAAGCAGCAGGUUAUUACCCAGCUGUUCUGACGGUACCCAAAGAAUAAGCACCGGCUAACUUCGUG